AGAAUCUUAAAGAAGAAUGGAAAAUAGUUUAAAUUCCAUAGACAUAUUUUGGCCCUAAGAUACAGCAGAGCCACUUAGCUACCCCUCAUCUGCAGUGUUUUGUUUCCUUGUGUUUAUUCUGCUGCUACGAUUUUAAUACCUGGCUUAAGCUGCUGUUGUUUUUUCUCUACUAAUUUGCUCAGCAGUUCUGGGAAUCAAGUGCACUGCCACAUGAAAUCGUCUUUGCAUACAUUUGGCUAAAUGGCAUUAUUCCUGGCUGCUCAGUAACUGCAUACAGCAUUUGGAUAUGAAAUUUCUCCCCAGGAUCCCCGUGCACUACUGUGCAACUCCCACUCAUGACCCCACACACUAAGAUCAGUGCAGGCAUUGCAGAACAGUGGCCAACCAACCUGAUGAGCUCUGGCACACACUGGAUGUUGGGGAUCUGCGAGGUGAAAGGUUGAAAGAAGUGAUAUGAAGGGAGAGUGAGAGAUUCACUCCUACAUACCCCGCAGUCAUUGGCUCCAUCACCACACAUACCCACGCAGUAACUGGUGGAGGAAAAGGAAGGAAAACAAUGAAGGAAGGAAUGAAAAUUUGGGAGAAGGAUGGACUUUGUAUGCUGGAGUCUGUCUGUGGUUUUAUCUCAGCUCUUUUUCACUGAGCCUUCAAUGCAGCCACAGUGGAUAGGAGCAAGGACUGGCAGGACUGAUUACACCUUUCCUUG